rnacentral:snRNA from 1 species
AUAUUUACCUGACUGAGGAGAUACCCUGAUCACAAAAGUGGUUUUCCCGGGGUGAGGCUUAUCCAUUGCACUCUGGAUGUGUGACCCCUGUGAUUUCCCUAAAUGUAGGAAACUCGACUACAUAAUUUAUAGUAGUGGAGGACUGUGUUUGCACUUUCCCCCU